rnacentral:misc_RNA from 3 species
GGGGCGUGGUGCGUUCGGUGAUGUUGGGUCUUGCUGACGCGUUGGCGUGUGAGAUGUGCUUUGGAUAUUUGUGUUUGCCGGCUCUGUGCUUUUGCACUGAACGGUUUGCAUGUAAUCCUUGUCAGUUUUCGUUGUACGCCCUUGGUGUUCGUAUGUGGUUCCUGUUUUGCUUACCUUUAAAACGGUAUCCGUGUGGCUUGUUAGGCUUGAUCCAUCCCCUGCCGUUGCACGGUCUUGUGGUGGCUUUUGUAGUUUUACGUAUGAGCCCUUUCUAGAUGUACUCGUAUGUCUGGGGAGGUGCCCAUGUAUUGACUGAAUCUUCGGACGCGGUGCUUGAGAUGAACUUUUGUGUUUUUCACAUUGUCCCUAAAUUAUGGUUGCCUUAAAUUAUGCCUGCUGUUCUGCACGUUUUGAUUGCCUUUCGUGGGCGCAAAGCUUGCAUUAUGGCAGAGUCAUUAAUGGAUGC